GGGCCCGCACAAGCGGUGGAGCAUGUGGUUUAAUUCGAUGCAACGCGAAGAACCUUACCAGGGUUUGACAUCCUGCGAAUCUCUUGGAAACGAGAGAGUGCCUUCGGGAACGCAGUGACAGGUGGUGCAUGGCUGUCGUCAGCUCGUGUCGUGAGAUGUUGGGUUAAGUCCCGCAACGAGCGCAACCCACGUCGUUAGUUGCCAGCAUUUAGUUGGGCACUCUAGCGAGACCGCCGGUGAUAAACCCGGAGGAAGGUGGGGAUGACGUCAAGUCCUCAUGGCCCUUACGUGUUGGGCUACACACGUGCUACAAUGGUAUCUACAACAGGAAGCAAAACUGCGAAGUUAAGCAAA
rnacentral:rRNA from 1 species